rnacentral:rRNA from 1 species
GAUGAACGCUAGCGGGAGGCUUAACACAUGCAAGUCGAGGGGCAGCAUAGGGUAGCAAUACUCUGAUGGCGACCGGCAGACGGGUGAGUAACGCGUAUGUAACCUACCCCAUACAGAGGGAUAACCCGGAGAAAUUCGGACUAAGACCUCAUAACACCAUGAGAGGGCAUCUGAUUAUGGUUAAAGUUCCGGCGGUAUGGGCUGGGCAUGCGUAACAUUAGCUAGUUGGUAGGGUAACGGCCUACCAAGGCUUCGAUGUUUAGGGGUCCUGAGAGGGUGGUCCCCCACACUGGUACUGAGACACGGACCAGACUCCUACGGGAGGCAGCAGUGAGGAAUAUUGGUCAAUGGGCGCAAGCCUGAACCAGCCAUCCCGCGUGCAGGAAGACGGCCCUAUGGGUUGUAAACUGCUUUUCCAGGGGGCGAAUAGCCACUACGUGUAGAGGUAUGACUGUACCUUGGGAAUAAGCAUCGGCUAACUCCGUG